AGAUCUGAACGUAAGACUUGAGCGUAAUACUUCUGUCAACAUGGAGGUCUGCGAUUUGAGCAAUGUUGGUAUGCAUCCACAUAUAUAGCUUCCGACCAAAUUGGUGAGUUGUUUGGCCUUUGAGGGAUAUCUGAUAGAGCCCUUCCUUUGACGUACCUCUUCUGGAUCAAAGCUUCCCACAACGAGAUUCUGAUGCGCUGAUCUCUUAGGCCGAGGCCUCAGGUGUUAGAGAAUAUCAAGCAAGGAUAUAUGUUAACAAAAGUAAUACUCAAAAUGUAUUAAACUCAAAAACCCAAAAUAUUUUUUUUGAAUUAAAACUAUCUGAU
rnacentral:lncRNA from 1 species